GACGAACGCUGGCGGCGUGCUUAACACAUGCAAGUCGAACGAUAAGGCCUUCGGGUACACGAGUGGCGAACGGGUGAGUAACACGUGGGUGAUCUGCCCCCUACUCUGGGAUAAGCCUGGGAAACUGGGUCUAAUACCGGAUAUGACCAACUUCUGCAUGGUUGUUGGUGGAAAGUUUUUUCGGUAGGGGAUGAGCCCGCGGCCUAUCAGCUUGUUGGUGGGGGAAUGGCCUACAAAGGCGACGACGGGUAGCCGGCCUGAGAGGGCGACCGGCCACACUGGGACUGAGACACUGCCCAGACUCCUACGGGAGGCAGCAGUGGGGAAUAUUGCACAAUGGGCGAAAGCCUGAUGCAGCGACGCCGCGUGGGGGAUGACGGCCUUCGGGUUGUAAACCCCUUUCAGUCGGGACGAAGCGCAAGUGACGGUACCGAUAGAAGAAGCACCGGCCAACUACGUGCCAGCAGCCGCGGUAAUAC
rnacentral:rRNA from 1 species